CCCCCGCGCCGCCCCCCCCCCUCCCCGGCCCCGGCCCCGCGUUGAGUGAGGUUUGAAGCCCCCCGCCGCAGCUCCAGCCCCGCUCCGUGCCUUGCCCACUCCUCGCCGCCCAGCCAAGGGCCACCUCCGCUCACGCAGCCUCCGCCGGCCUCCUCCUUUUUUUAUUUUUUCCAUCCCCCCCCACACUUUUUGACCAUUUCCACCCCCCCCCCAACCCCUAAACCACCUCGGGGACACCCCACCGCCUGCUCCCCAGCCAGAAGAAGGUGGGAAAAAAAAAAAAACCCACGCCAAAAACCCCGCAACCCCCCGCCACCGGCCCACCCUCGCUCCGCCGCCGAGAUUUUUCCGCCUCCGAGCCCGGCGCCGAGAUCCGAGGAAGGGGCUGGGGGGCCGGAGGCUCCCCCCUUUAUUUCUCCUCUCCCCCCUGCCCCUCUCACCAUGAUGUUUCGAGACCAGGUCGGCGUGCUGGCCGGCUGGUUCAAGGGCUGGAACGAGUGCGAGCAGACUGUUGCGCUGCUCUCCCUGCUCAAACGCGUGAGCCGGACCCAAGCCCGCUUCCUGCAGCUCUGCCUCGAGCACUCCCUGGCAGACUGCACCGAGCUGCACAUCCUCGAAGGGGAGGCCAACAACCCUGGAAUCAUUAACCAAUGGCAACAGGAAUCCAAGGAUAAAGUGAUUUCCCUAUUGUUAACCCACCUGCCUUUACUGAAGCCCGGAAACAUCGAAGCAAAAGUCGAAUACAUGAAACUCUUGCCUAAAAUCCUGGCCCACUCGAUUGAACACAACCAACACAUCGAGGAGAGCCGGCAGCUGCUGUCCUACGCCUUGAUACACCCCGCCACCUCGCUGGAGGACAGGAGCGCCCUCGCCAUGUGGCUCAACCACCUGGAGGACCGCACGUCGGGGAGCUUCGGCGGCCAGAGCCGGGGCCGGUCGGACUCGGUGGACUACGGGCAGACGCACUACUAUCACCAAAGACAGAACUCCGAUGAUAAACUCAACGGAUGGCAAAACUCUCGAGACUCGGGCAUAAGCGUCAGCGCUUCCAGCUGGCAGGACAAAAACCUGGCGUGUGAGAACGGCCAUCUGCCCCUCUACUCCUCCUCCUCCGUCCCCACCACCAUCAACACCAUCGGCACUAGCACAAGCACGAUUCUCUCAGGCCAGACACACCACAGCCCUUUGAAACGCUCUGUGUCCCUUACCCCACCCAUGAAUGUGCCAAACCAACCUCUAGGACAUGGAUGGAUGUCUCAUGAGGACUUACGAGCUAGAGGACCCCAGUGCAUCCCUUCCGAUCAUGCCCCCCUGUCUCCACAAAGCAGUGUAGCCUCUUCGGGAAGUGGUGGGAGUGAACAUUUAGAAGAUCAGCCUUCCGCUCGUAACACAUUCCAGGAGGAAGGGAGUGGUAUGAAAGAUGUUCCAGCCUGGCUGAAGAGUCUCCGGCUGCACAAGUACGCGGCGCUCUUCUCGCAGAUGACGUACGAGGAGAUGAUGGCCCUCACCGAAUGCCAGCUGGAGGCACAGAACGUUACCAAAGGCGCAAGACACAAAAUAGUCAUCAGUAUCCAAAAGCUAAAAGAAAGACAAAACCUGCUCAAGUCUUUAGAAAGGGACAUCCUGGAAGGCGGCAACCUGCGCGUCCCGCUGCAGGAACUACACCAAAUGAUCCUCACCCCCAUCAAAGCCUACUGUUCCCAAACCUCGAGCCCGGAGGAGCACGGCCGGGACGCGGACUCGCAUCACCCCCCGUCCCUGCUGGGCUCUGACAGCCAAGGCUCCGACUGCAAGGACUCUGCCGCAGGGGGUAUGCAGCAGCACCACUUGCCGGGCUGCGAGGGCGAGUCGGGGGGGGCCCCUUUGCCCGAAGGCGAUCUGCCCGGCCAGUUCACCAGAGUGAUGGGGAAAGUAUGCACACAGCUUUUAGUUUCCCGACCCGAUGAAGAGAACAUAAGCUCCUAUUUACAGCUCAUAGACAAGUGUCUAAUUCACGAGGCGUUUACAGAGAUCCAGAAGAAACGGCUGUUGUCAUGGAAACAGCAGGUGCAAAAACUCUUUAGGUCUUUCCCUCGGAAAUCCCUCCUGGAGCUGUCGGGCUAUCGGCAGCAGCGGAGCCGAGGCUUUGGCCAGUCCAACUCCUUGCCGACCGCCGGAUCCGCCGGGGCAGGGCUGGGCAGGCGAAACCCCCGCCAGUUCCAGAUCCCCUCCCGCAACCUCCCCACCGCCCGCCUGGGGCUGCUGGGGCCCAGUGGGCUGCUGGGCACCCCCCAGCGCAGCCCCGCCGCCAGCCCCGCCAUCCUCAAGCAAGGCAGGCAGAACCUCUGGUUUGCCAACCCCGGGGGCAGCAACAGCAUGCCCAGCCGCAGCCACAGCUCGGUGCAGAGGACGCGCUCGCUGCCGGUGCACACCUCCCCGCAGACCAUGCUGAUGUUCCAGCAGCCAGAGUUCCAGGUGCCGGUGACUGAACCUGACAUCAACAACAGGCUGGAGUCCCUGUGCCUGAGCAUGACGGAGCACGCGCUCAGCGGUGAGCACUCCCUCCUCCUCGGGCUCUUCCAGCACGUCCAAGCGGCCUCAACCGAGCCCCCCGGGAGCUGCCCCGCGCCCCCCAAGGGCUGGGACAGGCUGUGGCUCUGAGGGACGGGGCCGGGACGGACGCUGCUCCCGCGUCGGGGCAGAGGGGUAAAACCGAAGGCAGGGGUCGCGGCCAGCACUAGCACAGCCCGUGCUUCGUAGCCACUAAUUAGCUUGCUAACCGUAAUUAGUGGUAGCUCACUAGUCUGCUGUUAGUUAGCGGCAACGCCACCUGGUUCACAGGCUUUGGAGCAUUUUACCCCUCUGCCAGCCCCAGCCCCGCUUUGCUGGGGGAUGCAGGAGCCCCGAGGCACCCCGGGGCUGGAGCUGUCCCGUUGUGGGUGCAGCGCCAGCGAUGCUGGCAGCCCGGGAUGUCCGUGGGGAUGAGGUGUGGGGAGGGAGGAGGGGGCCAGGCUGCAGCAGGGGCAGGGAAGGUGGGCGAGGAGACCCCCGGGGAGGCACCGCACGCGCCCCCGACCGAUGCAGCGGACCUGCCAGCGCGGAUAGCACGGGAGCCCCCAGCCCAGCCUGCAAAAAUGGGACGAGCUCAGCAGCCCGCGGCGCCCAGACCCUCCCGAAUUCCCAGCUCGUGCCCUGAAAGUCGCGGACGGACGGACGGUGGAGGACGGGAGCCCGCGGGGAGGACGGGUGCCCCCGGCGCGGCUCCCUGCAGCGAUGGCACGGCCCGUCCCGGGGAGAGAGACAGAGAGAGAGAGACGUGGGAGCGAGGACUGUACGAGGCAGCAGGGUGCUGGCAGCACCCCUGGCCGUGAAAACAAGGACACUGCUGUCACCCGAAGCGUUCCUCCGGCGUGUGCCCAGGCGAGGCUUAACUGUGUUGUUCCUCCGCAGGAUGGUGUCGACCGGACCUCCACGAUCUAGAGGACGGCGUGGCGGCGGCGCUGGCCGGGAGAACAACUGCUGCGGGUCCAGCGGCGAGGUCCGGGCGCGCGCGGGAGCCUCAGCGACAGCUUGCAUCCUUUUCUCUCUUUCUCUCCUCUCUCUCUAUCUCUCUCUCUCUCCUGUUUUAAUUUUGUGAAUGUGUAGAUUGUCCUUGUGAACAUAUCACUAGACUUGGAAUUUGUGUUGUCAUUUAUUACAUCCAUGCUAAGAGGGGGGGGAAACAGCAAAAAAAAAUAAAUGGCGAUGAUGGGAAAAAAAAACAAAAAGCAUGGGGAGGGUGGGGGGGGACGCGGCAGGAAGGUGCUGACAGUGAGGUUUCACCAGCGCACCGUGGGCAGACCCUGUUUCUGAACCAGGCAACGAAUCCAUAGCACCUGCGGGUGCCCAAAGCCCUUUGGGGAGGAUUUGCAAGGGCUGGGGUUGGUGGGGACCUCGUGGGUGCUGCCACCUGCCCGGUCCCUGGCCUUGUCCCACCGGUGCCAUUUGCAAAAACGCCCCAUGGCAUCGCCGGCUCGCGUUUGGCUGAGUUCAGGGGCUGGACCAGCAGCCAAAAAAAAGGGCGAGCAAAUUCAAAAAUAAAACAACAAAAAAAAAUAAUUAAAAAAAAAAACACAAUCCAACAAACCUUCCUUUCAGUUUUGCACCCGAAAUGGCGACCUGCCUGUUGCUUACGCGGCAGCGGUGUCGAAGGAAGGGCACGCGCUCCCCUCCCGCUGCUGGGGGAGAGGGGGGUCGUGUCCAUCUGCCCGUCCGUCUGUCCGUCUGUCCGGCCGCCCUCGUGGUGGCCGGCGAGGCCAAGGGCCCGGGGAUGUUGGCGAGGGGGCGAUGCUGUGUGCGGUGAGUGUCCGUUUCUCUGUCUUGUGGGUAGCGGGAAGGUGCUGCAUCCUGGCUUUACACAUCUGCCCAGCCUGCCCGGAUCGCCCCUAAAUCCCAUCAAAACCCCGUUAAAAAGGGGUUUUUCCAGCCCUGGGAUGGCCAGGAGGGUCCUGGCCGCCAGGUGAGGGGAGGUUUGGGAGCGUGCACACAUUUAUCGUGCACAAAUAACCGAGUGAGAGCGCAGCGAGCACCAAAAGGCCGCUGCGGUUUGGGGCACGAAACGCACCAGGGAGGGAUGUGGGUCACGGUGGCUCGUGCCCACCUCCUCUAAGAGCCUUGGUGGAGGAAAUUAAUAACAAUUAACGAAAUCUGGACUGCUCAAGGCAGGAGGGUGGUCUCCUGCGGGUUGGUUUUGCUGUAAGCCCGGGCUGAGCUAAGUGGAGGCUGCGAGCGGGGUCACGGCAGCGUUGCCAGAAGGGGCUCGGCCAAAAACCUCUGCUGGGAGCGGGGUUUUGAGGCCAAGCCCUUGGCAGGGGCAUUGCCAAAGUGGGCUGAGGGCUGAGCAGGGCUGAGGGCGGCUGCUGGCAGAUCUGGAAACCCAUUUUUGAUGCAGCAUUUUGAAGUAGUUUUAUAUAUAUAUGAGGAAAAAAAAAAAGAAGUGCCAAAUGUUUUAUGUUUGCUAUUUCUUGGUUUCCUGUUUACCGGAAGGCUUGAGGUGAUGUUUACCGGGGGGAGGAGAGUGGAGGAGGAAAACCAGAGCCCAGGAGGGGCUGGGAAGUGUUGCGAGGAGCCUGAAAACGAGCGGGGCAGGGGAGGGGACGCGGCGAGGCUGGGGGGCACCCAGCACCCGCGGCCAGCGCGAGCACCGCUGCGCCAGGCUUUGGAAAGGAAGACCCGAAGCUGAGAUUCUAUUUAUUCCUUUGCUGAAUAUAGAAACAGAGGUUAUCUGAUUGUUAGAGAGAUUAUUUUGGAUAUAUUACUUGUGAACUUGCUAUGGCUGGUAACCAUGAUAAUGUCUGUUAUUAACAACCACCAAAUAAUUCGUUGUUUUUUUCUUUUUUGUUGUUUUUUCUUUUUUUUGUUGUUGUUUUUUCUUUUUUUUUUUUAAGCUUAUUUUCCAUUGACAGUGUAUAGGUUAAUAACUACUUAGUUGCGUUUGCUGUUCCUUGUUUUUAAGUAAAAAAAAAGAAAAAACAAAAAAAAAAAGUGGCUUCAGUUACAUUUUGGAAGUCCUUCCUGGCUCUGUGGGAGGCCUGUGCUGAGUGCAGGUAACAGAGCCCUGUUUAAAAAAAAAAAAAAAGAAACGCGCAAAUAAAAUCCUAAGAUUAAAAAAAAUAAUAAUAAAAUUAUUUAUAAAAAAAUAAAACUGAAAAAAAAAAAAAAACAGUUGCAUGAAUGAGGCUGUGAAGUCAAAUAUUUAGUAAUAAAGCGGCAGUGCCUUUCUUUUUUGUAUUCACCCGUUCACCCCACGUGCAACUGUUCCCUGCGGCUCCCGGCCCGCCGGCGCUCACCAAAUUUUUGGUCUCGCCCCACGUCGGGCACGUGGCCCCGGCGGCUCCCACCGGCUCCUGGUGCUGAUGCCCGCGGCCCCAAACCCGGCACCCCAAUCCGGGAUGGCCCCGCGGGGCCGCGACGCUGAGGAAAAGCCCUUUUCUUUUGAGGUGUCGCCGUCCUUCCCCGAAAAGGACGAGGCCUUCGCCGAGCCAGGAGCGCGGGCGCUUGAUGCGAGCCGGCACCUUUGGGUGCUCGGCUCGUGACACAAAUCGCUGGGGGGGGUCCGCCACGGGCCAGGGUUGGGUCAGCACGUAGCGCGAGGAUUUCUGUUGUCACCUUUCUCCAUGUCGGGGCGCGGGGAUGCGCCCCUCCCGGGUUGGCUUUCUGGAUGUGCCUGAUGGAAAAGUAGGUCCUGCAGACGUAUAAUUUGCACACAGCUCCGAUAGAACACUAAAGUUGAUUUUAUACAAGUCAUCAGAGUUUGCAAAGUGAGUUUUAUUUUUUGUAUUCCUUUAUCUUUACUUAAAGGUGAAUGUGUAUUCCUCUGGGAGGAAUAGGAAGAAAAAAAAAAAAAAAAAAAAACACAAAAAACAGGAAUGUUAAUAAUGUUAAACAGAAAACUUCCUCCCUUAUUAAUAUAUAACCCUUAUGUAUUUAUGCAUAUUGUAAGCUUACUUUAAAGAGCUUUGAACUCUCUUCUGUUGCAUGCCGUUUCCGGGCAGACUUUUAUUGUACAUGCAUGCAUUUAGUCCUGUUUUUUCUGUACAAAGUUAGUGCACAAAGAAAUAUUUUUGCCUAGUUAAUGUUGCCAAGCAAUGCAUAUUUUUUAAAUUUUGUCAUAUAUGGAAAUAGCAUGUUUGUUACAUGUAAAAGCUUCCUGAUAUAAAGAAAUACUAAUGUUUGGAGAUGCUGGUCUUUGCAAGUGUACAGUUUUCAAAUGUUGUUACCAGUGAAACACCCUUGUGAUUUAAACUUGCUCCAAUGUAUUUAUUACUCAUUUCCUCCCAUGUAACUAGGAAUCAUGGCUAUAUUUCAUAUCAACGUUAUAUUGAAAGUGAAGGGAGAUGAUUAAUACAAGGUUUUGUAACA